rnacentral:rRNA from 1 species
GGGAACCCUGACGCAGCGACGCCGCGUGAAGGAAGAAGGCCUUCGGGUUGUAAACUUCUUUGAUCGGGGACGAAGGAAGACGGUACCCGAGGAACAAGCCACGGCUAAUUACGUGCCGGCAGCCGCGGUAAUUAAACUU